rnacentral:lncRNA from 1 species
AGCACAUAAGAGCACACGCGUGGGGCUCCAGCCCGGCCACGGGGAGACCUUUUCUCAGCAAAGGGCAGCACUGCUCGCUUUGCUGGGGCAGCCCUCCCAGGAAGAUCCCAGAAGAGAUGGUCUGAGGUGUGUGAACACUGUGAAUGUCAUGGACAAAGCUCAGCGUGGGACCCCAUGGGACUUCAGGCCCUGAAAGCAGCAGAUCUCACCUGCAUUGGAGGAUGAGACGCCACAUGAAGAAGAAAGAAGACGCCACAGACAGCAGCGCAGUACCACCUUCCAGAGAUGUCCUAAAAACAUCCUGAGUUUCUUUGGCCUGCCAGAAAGUCACCUUCCUGACUCACCUGUAAGGCUGGGAACUCCAUAAUCCAGUUGGAAAUGCAGAAAUCACCUGUCUUCUGCGUCGAUCAGGCUGGGAGCUGCAGACCGGAGCUGUUCCUAUUCGGCCAUCUUGGAAUGGACCCCCAUGUCUUAUUCUCAAAUAAAACAUUUUGG